AUGUUCCUGUUCACGCGGUUGCCGGGGUUAGCUGUGGUGGAGCCCCGCCCUUAUUCUGCGUACCUGUGUAAGGACCGAGGAGCAUGGAUCUGCACGAGGCGGGCGGGGCUAAAACUACAUUUACUCUCAGAACCAACCAGAAAUGUAAAGACAUCCCAUUCGUCGGAGGAGUUAAAUCACUUUUUAAACUGGUGCACCAGCCUAAAAGGCUCAGGGUUAGCGUACGUAGCAUGCUCACCACGUUCUUGAUGAUCUCGUCCUUGCCGUCCUGCCUCUGCACCUUGAGCAGGUGGUAGCAGAAGUCGAACAGGUCGAAGCGGCGCUGCUGGCCCAGCAGGACGAUG